GUGAAUUUAUACACACAUACAAGGAGCCUACGACUAGAGACAACCAACUACUUAACAACCUGUGCUGCACUUACCUCAUUUUGAUUGAGGCAAUUUCUUGAAGAAGAUUUCAUGCACGGGAUAUCAAUAUUUUAUAUAAGAAGUCUUCAUCCAAGUGGCCGAAGUCCUCAUCGAAGCCAGUAGAAGUCUUCAUCCAAUUGGGCAGAAGUCUUUAUCCA